rnacentral:rRNA from 1 species
GAUGAACGCUGGCGGCGUGCCUAAUACAUGCAAGUCGAGCGAACAGACGAGGAGCUUGCUCCUUCGACGUUAGCGGCGGACGGGUGAGUAACACGUAGGUAACCUACCUAUAAGACUGGGAUAACUUCGGGAAACCGGAGCUAAUACCGGAUAAUAUUUCGAACCGCAUGGUUCGAUAGUGAAAGAUGGCUUUGCUAUCACUUAUAGAUGGACCUGCGCCGUAUUAGCUAGUUGGUAAGGUAACGGCUUACCAAGGCAACGAUACGUAGCCGACCUGAGAGGGUGAUCGGCCACACUGGAACUGAGACACGGUCCAGACUCCUACGGGAGGCAGCAGUAGGGAAUCUUCCGCAAUGGGCGAAAGCCUGACGGAGCAACGCCGCGUGAGUGGUGAAGGUCUUCGGAUCGUAAAACUCUGUUAUUAGGGAAGAACAAACGUGUAAGUAACUGUGCACGUCUUGACGGUACCUAAUCAGAAAGCCACGGCUAACUACGUG